rnacentral:rRNA from 1 species
UACGUAGGGUGCGAGCGUUAAUCGGAAUUACUGGGCGUAAAGCGUGCGCAGGCGGUUUUGUAAGCCGGAUGUGAAAUCCCCGGGCUUAACCUGGGAAUGGCAUUCGGGACUGCAAGGCUGGAGUGCGGCAGAGGAGACUGGAGUUCCUGGUGUAGCAGUGAAAUGCGUAGAUAUCAGGAGGAACACCGAUGGCGAAGGCAGGUCUCUGGGCUGACACUGACGCUCAUGCACGAAAGCGUGGGGAGCAAACAGG